rnacentral:rRNA from 1 species
GACGAACGCUGGCGGCGUGCUUAACACAUGCAAGUCGAACGGAAAGGCCCUGCUUUUGUGGGGUGCUCGAGUGGCGAACGGGUGAGUAACACGUGAGUAACCUGCCCUUGACUUUGGGAUAACUUCAGGAAACUGGGGCUAAUACCGGAUAGGAGCUCCUGCUGCAUGGUGGGGGUUGGAAAGUUUCGGCGGUUGGGGAUGGACUCGCGGCUUACCAGCUUGUUGGUGGGGUAGUGGCUUACCAAGGCUUUGACGGGUAGCCGGCCUGAGAGGGUGACCGGCCACCUUGGGACUGAGAUACGGCCCAGACUCCUACGGGAGGCAGCAGUGGGGAAUAUUGCACAAUGGGCGGAAGCCUGAUGCAGCAACGCCGCGUGCGGGAUGACGGCCUUCGGGUUGUAAACCGCUUUCGCCUGUGACGAAGCGUGAGUGACGGUAAUGGGUAAAGAAGCACCGGCUAACUACGUG